rnacentral:lncRNA from 1 species
CGGCAUAUCAAAGAACCCCAAUUAUUCAAUUUUGAUGAAAUCAAACAAAGUUUAAUUUUGGACCCUUUGGGCCCCUUUUUCCUAAACUAUUGGGACCAAAACUCCCAAAAUCAAUACCAACCUUCCUUUUAUGGUCAUAAACCUUGUGUUUAAAUUUCAUAGAUUUCUAUUUACUUAUACUAACGUUAUGGUGCAAAAACCAAGAAAAAUGCUUAUUUGGGUCCCUUUUUGGCCCCUAAUUCCUAAACUGUUG